UACAGAGGGUGCAAGCGUUGUUCGGAAUUACUGGGCGUAAAGGGCUCGUAGGCGGCCAACUAAGUCGGAUGUGAAAUCCCCAGGCUCAACCUGGGAACUGCAUCCGAUACUGGAUGGCUUGAAUUCGGGAGAGGGAUGCAGAAUUCCAGGUGUAGCGGUGAAAUGCGUAGAUAUCUGGAGGAAUACCGGUGGCGAAGGCGGCAUCCUGGACCGACAUUGACGCUGAGGAGCGAAAGCUAGGGGAGCAAACGGG
rnacentral:rRNA from 1 species